rnacentral:tRNA from 1 species
GGAAAGGUGGCUGAGUGGUUGAAAGCGUAGCAUUGGAAGUGCUAUUUAAGUUUUACUUAACGAGGGUUCGAAUCCCUCUCUUUCCU